rnacentral:snRNA from 11 species
AGACUUACCUGGCAGGGGAGACCAUGAUCAUGAAGGUGGUUUUCCCAGGGCAAGCUUAUCCAUUGCACUCUGGAUGUGCUGGUUUUCCCAGGGCAAGUUUAUCCAUUGCACUCUGGAUGUGCUGGUUUUCCCAGGG